CAGGGGGCGAGCCCCUCGUCCUGGUCCGGCUUGAAUCCGCUGCCAAGCGGGGAGGUGGAGCUGCCACAGAAAACAAGGCUCCGCUCCAACUACCUGUUUUCUGUUGACUGAAAUGUGCCCAACGUUUCCUGAUCAUGUGGAACAAGAUGAUAUUUUUGUAUUGGAGUCCAAUGUUUUACUCAGUAAACGUGCGUCUUCUAUGGAAGAAGGAGAUGAGGUUGUUCCCAACUCUAGGGGGCGGUGCUCAUCUCC